UACGGAGGGUGCGAGCGUUAAUCGGAAUUACUGGGCGUAAAGGGUGCGUAGGUGGUUUGGUAAGUUAACUGUGAAAUCCCUGGGCUUAACCUGGGCAUGUCAGUUAAGACUGCGAGACUUGAGUAUGGGAGAGGGUAGUGGAAUUUCCGGUGUAGCGGUGAAAUGCGUAGAGAUCGGAAGGAACACCAGUGGCGAAGGCGGCUACCUGGCCUAAUACUGACACUGAAGCACGAAAGCGUGGGGAGCAAACAGG
rnacentral:rRNA from 1 species